GGAAGAGCAUCUCCGCGGUCGGGGUCUCAUACUCCUCAAUCGGACCCUCGUACGGCACAUUCAGAUCAUGCACCGGAGUGAUCACGCCGCCGCCGGUCGGUCUCGGAGCAACCGGCCGCUCAAUCGACCCUGUAAUCGCCCCGCACUGCAUCAUCUUCAUCUCCCACAGCCCUUGGAGCUCGGUGAGAACGGACUCGCCGGCGCCGGUGGCGACGAACUCCUC
rnacentral:misc_RNA from 1 species